CUUGGCAAAAUAUAGAACUCACGUUG
rnacentral:miRNA from 1 species